UUGAAAAAACACUUUUAUUAGAAAUGUUUUUCCUGAAAUUCUUCAUCUUACCUUUAAUGCUCUCUGUCACAGUGGGUGCAAAAGACCCAAUCCUUCUCCAGUCUCCGAGCCUGAAAUGUGUCACCAAGGGUCACACUGCCCGGUUACAGUGUACCAUGAAGAAUGCCACAGUGAAAGACACAGAAGUUCAUUGGUAUCUGGAACAACCAGGGAAUAACACGAAGUGGGUUUUAACACAGGACACGAGGAACAUCACACAACAGAGCUCAGGAUUCACUAAGCGAUUCCAGUCUUCCAGAGACACCUACAGUAACAGCUUCAUUCUAACCAUCACAAACAUGCAGCCCAGUGACAGCGGGAACUAUUUCUGUGAAAUAUGGGGAGAUAUCAGUGGGACAGGAACCCAGCUGACUGUAACAGCCUUUCAGGACUAA